AGUGAACGCUGGCGGUAGGCCUAACACAUGCAAGUCGAACGGCAGCACAGUAAGAGCUUGCUCUUACGGGUGGCGAGUGGCGGACGGGUGAGGAAUACAUCGGAAUCUACUUUUUCGUGGGGGAUAACGUAGGGAAACUUACGCUAAUACCGCAUACGACCUACGGGUGAAAGCAGGGGAUCUUCGGACCUUGCGCGAUUGAAUGAGCCGAUGUCGGAUUAGCUAGUUGGCGGGGUACAGGCCCACCAAGGCGACGAACCGUAGCUGGUCUGAGGGGAUGAUCAGCCACACUGGAACUGAGACACGGUCCAGACUCCUACGGGAGGCAGCAGUGGGGAAUAUUGGACAAUGGGCGCAAGCCUGAUCCAGCCAUACCGCGUGGGUGAAGAAGGCCUUCGGGUUGUAAAGCCGUUUUGUUGGGAAAGAAAAGCAGCAGGUUAAUACCCCGCUGUUCUGACGGUACCCAAAGAAUAAGCACCGGCUAACUUCGUG
rnacentral:rRNA from 1 species